AUCCAGCCAGCUGCCCACCUCCCCCCACGGCCCCACCACGGAAAGAAAAGCAAUCGGCGCACAAACAAAAGUGGACGACCUAAACAGGGGAGCAAAAAUCUCAGCUCCGAGAGAUAUCCAGAGAGGCACUUCGGAGAACGGAGAUGCACGGCUUCUGCUCCACGUCCAACUACGUAUUCGCCGUCCUGGUUGACGGCGUGCUGGGCUACCUCCACCGCGGCAGCACCGAAUGCCUGGCGGGCGGCGCCUACCUAGGAGGGCUCCUAUAGAAAAGAGACCAAUCUUUUGGUGUGGCGGAUGUGUGGCGACCGCCUCUGACGGCUCUCUGGCCCCGGCAUGACUGCCAGUCCGACGGCUCUCCGCCUCCGCCACGACCACGGGUUCCCGUUCCAGCUGGUGACAACUUUGUCUCCCUCCAAGGCUACCAAGUUGAUCUGCAGUUAGUGAAUACUUCAUUUUACUCUAAUGCACAAACAACCGGUACUCUCCCUACAUCUGGAUAUCCAAUCACAACACACUCAAUCCAAGAACUGCAGCCUUCAAGUACCUGGUAUGCUACACAUCCCUCAGUGCCAAACUUAGGCUUUUGAUUUUGUAUUCCAAUUGAUGUCUAACCUUUGCAAAUACUGAGAGGAAGACGAGCAAUGUGAUCCAAGUACUGGAAGUAGCAUCACUAUUUUCCAUGUAUUGCACUCAUAGGCAAGAUCUCCUUUUCUUGGUUUAUUUGACUAUAUAUGUUCACAUGUGAUUUAGAUUUACACUAUGUUUUUUCGUCAAAAUUCAGUUAUAGGUCCUUGCAACACAUAUUAAUGAUCGUGCUUCCUAUUGCUGUUGUAUUCACAUGACGAAAGAAGUACUAUUUUCAUGUUCGUAAUAAUAUACCCCUUCCUCUUAUGUGAUGAAAACAGUAAGAGCAUUGCCAGUGCGUAUAAGGAGAAGAAAGACAUAAGAACUAUAAACAGGUUCUAUACCUUGCCUGAAUCCUAAUUACGGAUUACUCACUCAACAUGGACUCUCUUGGUGUAUACCAUACAAUGCCAUGUUAUUAUGUAUCGACUAUAUUUGUUUCCAUUAAUGUUAUCGAUUUCCCGGUCCUGUCA